AUUGAACGCUGGCGGCAGGCCUAACACAUGCAAGUCGAACGAGUAGCGGACGGGUGAGUAAUGUCUGGGAAACUGCCUGAUGGAGGGGGAUAACUACUGGAAACGGUAGCUACUACCGCAUAACAUCAGAUGUGCCCAGAUGGGAUUAGCUUGUUGGUGGGGUAACGGCUCACCAAGGCGACGACCCCUAGAUGGUCUGAGAGGAGGGCCAGACCCACUGAAACUGAGACACGGGCCAGACUCCUACGGGAGGCAGCAGUGGGGAAUAUUGUACAAGGGGCUCAAGCCUGAUGCGGCCAUGCCGCGUGUAUGAAGAAGGCCCUCGGGUUGUAAAGUACUUUCAGCGGGGAGGCGUUACCCGCAGAAGAAGCACCGGCUAACUCCGUGCCAGCAGCCGCGGUAAUAC
rnacentral:rRNA from 1 species